GCCUGGCCUCGGGCCUGCCAGGCCUGUCUCUGGCAGUAAGAGUGUUGGGGACACCUGUCAUUGCUAGUUCUUGAAUUAUGCAGACUCUGGACUCCAGAAGGCCUCAGUUCGGAUCCAGACUGCUACUUAGCAGCUGUCUCCUUGGCAGGUCCUUCAGCGUCUGAGCCGUGGUGCCCUCAUCUCUAGAAUAGGGACAGUGACAACACCUCUCUGAAAGGUGGCUGCCAAGAUCGGAGAUGCUUAGACCCUUCUGCCUGGAGGAGGGGCCUUCCUUCCAGUGCCCUGACAGGUAACCCAAUGAUUGAAACUGCAAGGAGGUCAGGUGGUAGAUGAGGAUGGCACCACAGUUCAGAAGCAACCAGAUGGCAGUAGGGAUUAGCCGUGUUAUCACUCCAUUUUUGCCAGAGUAGCCGGAAAUAAUGAAAUUCCUGACUUUUACUAGUUGGCAGCUAAUUCACAUUUAGCAUUGUGUCAGGCUGGGGGCCAGGUGUGCUCAUUGGUAGAGCGCUUGCCCGGCAUUGUCCAGGCCCUGCUUCCAUACCAGCACUGCGGGAAGAAAUGUGUGGGCCAGACAGCCCUCCUGUGGCCCAGAUCUAUGGUCUGCUCUCACCUUUGCUCAGGGUGUUUGGGAUUUUCACAGCAGGCCCGAGGGCAGUUGAGGGCAUCAGCUUUGAAGCCCAGUAGAUCUGGGAUGACUGGAGGCCUCCAUACUCCAGCUGUGCGGCCUGGAGCCAUGCGCUGAACUUGGAGCCUCUGCUUGUCUCUGGCCAGAAGUGUCCCCUGGUUCAUGGCAGGUGUGGAGCUGGGUUGGGGGUGGGAGGUGCCGCUGAGCUGCUGAUCUCAGUGCUGCAGUGAGGGUGCAGGAAGCAGUAGGCUCCUCCUGUUCUUUGCAGCAGGUUUCCAGGCCUUGUCAUGGUAGGCCAGCAAGAUGGUCCUUGGGUUCUUCCCACUGAGUUGGUCAGCAAAUGUCUGAGCAUCCAGAGCUGGCCACCUGCAGGAAUCUGCCUUAGUGGCUGUAGUGCCCCAUUCUAUCUGCUGUGCCCGAGCCCACCUUACUUCCCUGGGCAGUGAGACAGGGUAACCCCAGAGCCCGAGCAGCUCUGAGGAACAGGCCUCGUGAGGAUUUGUAGGGUGAAGGGCAUUAGCACUCUGCAGCGUGCUUGGCAGAGCAUGCACUCAGAGUGACUGUGGUAGCAAUAUUUCAGUUUCUUUGAAGUGACUGUGUUGGUCAUUUUAACAUUUCGAGCAUGGACUAUGGUCCAUAUGCUGGUGAGGUACUCAGGAUGGAGUGAUGCCUAAAACUGACAGAACUCCUGAUCUCAAAGCUUACAGCACAGAGUGCAUGACAAGCCAGGGCUGGGGAUCUAGCUCAGUGACACAGUGCCUGCCUGGCAAGCAUGAAGUCCUGAGUUUGAUUCCUGGUACCAAAAAAAAAAAAAAGACAUAAGCCAAAAGGGAGCUAAAAAGGCUGAUAUGUCAGGAGGUGGUACUGCUGUAGACAGAAGUAAAGUGAGAAAAGGAGCCUGGGAGUGGAAGGGAUUGCAGUUUUAAAUUGAGUGGAAGCUGACAGUGAAGGCACACUUGUGUAAUCCCAGCACUCAGA